AUUGAACGCUGGCGGCAGGCCUAACACAUGCAAGUCGAGCGGAUGAAGGGAGCUUGCUCCUGGAUUCAGCGGCGGACGGGUGAGUAAUGCCUAGGAAUCUGCCUGGUAGUGGGGGAUAACGUCCGGAAACGGGCGCUAAUACCGCAUACGUCCUGAGGGAGAAAGUGGGGGAUCUUCGGACCUCACGCUAUCAGAUGAGCCUAGGUCGGAUUAGCUAGUUGGUGGGGUAAAGGCCUACCAAGGCGACGAUCCGUAACUGGUCUGAGAGGAUGAUCAGUCACACAGGAAAUGAGGACAGGGCCAAAACUCUAAGGGGGGCCAGAGGGGGGAAUAUGGGGAAAGGGGCGAAAGGCUGAACCAGCCAAGGCGGGGGUGGUAAGAAGGUCUUGGGAUUGUAAAACAAUUUAAGUUGGGAGGAAGGGAAGGAAGUUAAAACCUUGGUGUUUUGACGGUACCAACAAAAAAAGCAACGGCUAACUUCG
rnacentral:rRNA from 1 species